AUGAGCUGGUAUAAACUUCUUGCGCAAGCUUUUAAUUCUUUUCCAAAAUUCUGUUUUGCAAUUUUCCUAACUGCUUUUGUUCCGUUAUUUGUUGAGCUGGAAGUUAAUUUUUCACGAAUUUGUACUUCUGUUGGGAAUUCUUAUUCGAAAUUAUAUUUUCAAUUUGGGGCGCGUGCAUCACUUCUACUAGAGAAUUGUGUAGGGGAUACUGGAGAGGAAUUAACAAACUAA